rnacentral:rRNA from 1 species
UACGUAGGGGGCUAGCGUUGUCCGGAAUCAUUGGGCGUAAAGCGCGUGUAGGCGGUUCGGUAAGUCUGCUGUGAAAGUCGGGGGCUCAACCCUCGAAUGCCGGUGGAUACUGUCGGACUAGAGUGCGGAAGAGGCGAGUGGAAUUCCUGGUGUAGCGGUGAAAUGCGCAGAUAUCAGGAGGAACACCGGUGGCGAAGGCGGGUCUCUGGGCCGAUACUGACGCUGAGGCGCGGAAAGCCAGGGGAGCAAACGGG